ensembl:lncRNA
AUGUGGGAGGAGGUUCUUCGGGGCCUCGGGUCUCUCCAUGGCUCAAGCGCUCCUCACAUCUGUCUUUCUGCCUCCAGUUGGAAGCCCAGCCCAGGAUGUCUCAGCAGACGCAGAACCAGUGUGCUCCCCCGCAGCAGUGCUGCCCUCCCCCCCAGCAGUGCUGCCCGCCAGCCCAGCAGACGAAGCAGCCCUGCCAGCCUCCCCCCAAGUGUAAGGAGCCUUGUGCCCCCAAGUGCCAACAGAAGUGCCCACCCCCUCAGCAGUGCCAGAAGUCCAAGCAGAAGUGAGCAGAGAAGACAAAGCAUGAAGUCCCCACGGCCAGCAUCCUGCACACCCUCCCUCCUUAGCCGAGCUCUGUCCCACUCACCCCUGCUUCUGGAUCCGGCCACACUUCACGCCUGGAGAAAGGGCAGUGGCAGGCUGGCGGGAGGCCGGGGCUGGGCCGGCCGCUGCCCUGCGCUGCCAGAGACCAUCCCCUGAUGACACACCCUCUGCACUGACCCUGUGUUUGCCAGUUUUGGACACGUGUUCACUGUGUACCCUCCUGGACCAGGCACUGUGCUACACGCAGGAGCCAAGGGAAAGCCGGGAGAGUUCCUGUUCCCCGGGUUCUCGCAGGUGACACGGGGAGUGGUCCAGGGGUCUGUGGCACCCGUGCCAGGCUGGGUGGUUCAGGCUGGGUGGGCAGGUGGUUCACUCCGAAUGGGAAGGGCUGAUUCCUGAGGGGCUGAGAGGACCCGUCAGGCAGAGAUUCAGGGCAGAGGGAGGGCCUUGUUGGCAGGGAAAGGGAUGGUGCUAUUGGAAACGAAAGCUGAAAGUAAUUCAGCACGGCUCAUGUCUGGAACACUGAGCAUGUGCACAGCGAGAAGAACGGAGCAGGGAUGGCUGGGCAGAGGCGAGGUGGGAGGCGUCUCAGAGAGGGGCCCGCACGUGCAGGACCUUGGAAACCAAGGCAAGAAUUGUGGCUUGGCCGGCGCCGCGGCUCACUAGGCUAAUCCUCCACCUAGCGGCGCCAGCACACUGGGUUCUAGUCCCGGUCGGGGCGCCGGAUUCUGUCCCGGUUGCCCCUCUUCCAGGUCAGCUCUCUGCUGUGGCCAGGGAGUGCAAUGGAGGAUGGCCCAAGUACCUGGGCUCUGCACCCCAUGGGAGACCAGGAUAAGUACCUGGCUCCUGCCAUCGGAUCAGCGCGGUGCGCCGGCCGCAGCAGCCAUUGGAGAGUGAACCAACGGCAAAAGGAAGACCUUUCUCUCUGUCUCUCUCUCUCACUGUCCACUCUGCCUGUCAAAAAAAAAGCAUUGUGGCUCUACCCCGGGGCCUGUGGGAGCCCCUGAAGGGUCGGCAUGGAGGGAUGUGGCCACUGUGGUGACGAGGUGUUGUCCUGUCUCUCCCCUUCUCAUCCAGCCUGGGAGCGGCAGAUGUGACCAGUGGUGCGCUUGUGUGUCAGGCUGCAGAGUGUGUGCCAGGCCAGUCGCUAGGCCGCAGGGGGCUGCUCAGAGCUCCGUGAGCCCUGCCCCUGACUUGAGGCCUGGUCAUCCCAAGGCCCUGCCUGAGGCUGAUUCUGGUAGCCCUUGUUUGCUGCCUCCCGUAGCCAUUUUCCCGAGGAUGGCCUCGGUGGACAGGCCAUGUCUCAGAGGACAGGACGCCAAGUGGACAGUCUGGUCUUGCUUGUCGUCGCUGCUGCUCUGUGUGUUUGACCUGAUUCUCUAUCCCAGCCACCAUCACGACGGCCCCUUUCUCAGGCCUGAAGAACAACCUGGGCUCCAUGCACCCCCUCCCCAGAGACAGUGCCGGAGAGGGCAGUGGACCCUGCCCCAACCGCUUCUGGAAAGGAAGGGGCUGCUCUGGCUGGACACUGGCUGAGCUCAGGUGGCAGGUGACAAAACAACUUCCGUCAGGCAGCUGAAUUUUCUGUGCACCUCCUUGAAAAAUUCAGUUUCAGCAAUGAACCUUGCUGGGUCGGUAUACCAAGAUAUGAAAUUAAGAGAAACCUUAAAACGAUUAUAAUAAUUUGUAUCCAUGUCUAAUAAAUUGCAAUUAAAAUAAAUAAAAUCA